rnacentral:rRNA from 1 species
UACGAAGGGGGCUAGCGUUGCUCGGAAUUACUGGGCGUAAAGGGCGCGUAGGCGGCCUGCUAAGUCGAACGUGAAAUCCCUGGGCUCAACCCAGGAACUGCGUCCGAUACUGGUUGGCUUGAAUCCGGGAGAGGGAUGCGGAAUUCCAGGUGUAGUGGUGGAAUGCGUAGAGAUCGGGAGGAACACCAGUGGCGAAAGCGGCUCUCUGGUCCAAAACUGACGCUGAGGGGCGAAAGCGUGGGGAGCGAACGGG